rnacentral:rRNA from 1 species
GAUGAACGCUAGCGGGAGGCUUAACACAUGCAAGUCGAACGGUAAGGUCUCUUCGGAGAUACACGAGUGGCGAACGGGUGCGUAACACGUACGCAACUUACCCUUUACUAGGGCAUACCCUUUGGAAACGAAGAUUAAUUCCCUAUAAUAUUUCAAAUUCGCAUGAAUUAGAAAUUAAAGCUCAGGCGGUAAAGGAUAGGCGUGCGGCCCAUUAGUUAGUUGGUGAGGUAAUGGCUCACCAAGACCACGAUGGGUAGGGGGCGUGAGAGCGUGAUCCCCCACACGGGCACUGAGACACGGGCCCGACUCCUACGGGAGGCAGCAGUGAGGAAUAUUGGACAAUGGAGGAAACUCUGAUCCAGCCAUCCCGCGUGCAGGAUUAAGGCCCUCUGGGUUGUAAACUGCUUUUCUCAAGGAAGAAUAACUAGGAUUUAUCUUAGCUUGACGGUACUUGAGGAAUAAGCACCGGCUAACUCCG